rnacentral:siRNA from 1 species
CGCUGCUCUGAUGACCGUAC